GGAUGUGAGGGUGAUCUGGCUGUGACAUCUGUCACCCCAUUGAUGGCCAGAAUUAAUUCAGCUGAUCAGGCUGGCUAUGCGGGUGCCCUUUUUCUCCCUCAUUGUUUCCAUGUGCGUCCCUCCUGAAGCUGUGCGCUCAGUGGAAGAAGAUGACCAUCCCUGAUAGAGGAGGACCAAUCUUAGGUCAAGGGCAUAGGAGUAGCCACGCUCGCCUGCUAGAGCCUCCAAACAAGCUCUCAAAACUACUUUUGAAUGCACAUCCACAGAACUGAAGCUGCUAGAGAUGUAGAUGCUUUGGAGAAAAAUCCAAAUAUGGAGACGGCAUCUUUU
rnacentral:snRNA from 10 species